rnacentral:rRNA from 1 species
UUUUCUAGCAUUUGGCGUUCCCGAGUCCCACCGAAAAUCAAAAUUUUCCUCUGGCAAGCCUUCAGAGGCCGUCUCCCCACGGCUGACCAAAUUUGUAAGAGAAACGGGCCGGGCUCGGAGUUUUGUGCUCUCAGUGGUGCCUUGGAGGACACAAAUCAUAUCUUCUUCCAUUGCGUGCUUGCUAAGCUGGUUUGGAGCUGUGUCAGAUCCUGGCUCCAGGUUACCUGGAAUCCCUCCUCCUUUCUUGAGCUGAGAGACCUCGCCAACUCGCUGGCUGGGGUGACUAAGAGGGUCUUCUGGGUUGGCCUGGGUGUGAUAUGUUGGUCGCCGUGGACUACUAGGAACAAAUUUACGAUCAAACAAUUCUUUCCUACUAAAGCUGUUGAUUGUCUACUUAAAUCAUGUAUGUUCUUGCAGGAGUGGAGGUCAUUGACUAAGGAGGACGACCGGGGCGCGCUGGACAUGCUCAUUUCAAAAAUUCGGGCCUCGGCGUUGUCUCUUAUUGGGCAGGAACCUGGUGUCUGA